rnacentral:rRNA from 1 species
AUUGAACGCUGGCGGCAGGCCUAACACAUGCAAGUCGAACGGCAGCACAGAAGAGCUUGCUCUUUGGGUGGCGAGUGGCGGACGGGUGAGUAAUGUCUGGGAAACUGCCCGAUGGAGGGGGAUAACUACUGGAAACGGUAGCUAAUACCGCAUAACGUCGCAAGACCAAAGUGGGGGACCUUCGGGCCUCACUCCAUCGGAUGUGCCCAGAUGGGAUUAGCUAGUAGGUGGGGUAAUGGCUCACCUAGGCGACGAUCCCUAGCUGGUCUGAGAGGAUGACCAGCCACACUGGAACUGAGACACGGUCCAGACUCCUACGGGAGGCAGCAGUGGGGAAUAUUGCACAAUGGGCGCAAGCCUGAUGCAGCCAUGCCGCGUGUAUGAAGAAGGCCUUCGGGUUGUAAAGUACUUUCAGCGGGGAGGAAGGCGGUGAGGUUAAUAACCUUGCCGAUUGACGUUACCCGCAGAAGAAGCACCGGCUAACUCCAUGCCAGCCGCCGCUGUAA